rnacentral:rRNA from 1 species
GAGAGGAUGAUCCGCCACACUGGGACUGAGACACGGCCCAGACUCCUACGGGAGGCAGCAGUGGGGAAUUUUGGACAAUGGGCGCAAGCCUGAUCCAGCCAUGCCGCGUGUCUGAAGAAGGCCUCGGUUGUAAGGACUUUGUCAGGAGAAAGGAUAGGGUUAAUACCCCUGUCUGAUGACGGUACCUGAAGAAUAAGCACCGGCUAACUACGUGCCAGCAGCCGCGGUAAUACGUAGGGUGCGAGCGUUAAUCGGAAUUACUGGGCGUAAAGCGGGCGCAGACGGUUACUUAAGCAGGAUGUGAAAUCCCGGGCUCAACCUGGGAACUGCGUUCUGAACUGGGUGACUAGAGUGUGUCAGAGGGAGGUAGAAUUCCACGUGUAGCAGUGAAACUGCGUAGAGAUGUGGAGGAAUACCGAUGGCGAAGGCACGCUCCCGGGAUAACACUGACGUUCAGUCGCCCGAAAGCGUGGGUAAGCAAACAGGAUUAGACUACCCGUGGUACGUCCACGCCCUAAAGAUGUCGAUUAGCUGUUCGGG